CACAAAGAUGAGCCUUGUCCAUUCCUCAGUUUGGCUGACUCUGCCAAAAAUCUGCUAAUUCAUUUUCCCUGUGCAGGAGAGUCGGACUCAGCUUCUCACCCUCACACAGCCUUCUCUGGCCUCAGUGACUGGGUACAGGCUGAGAGAAGCUGACCUCAGCCCAACAAAAACACAGCCUGUAUCCUCCAAGAUCCCUGCCAGGAGCCACUGCCCAGCAAAAAUCUGAGGAAGAUCUUACCAGAAGGUCUAGCCUGGCUUUCCCAGAUGGCUGGAGUCAUCUCUCAGCACCUGUGUAAAGUAUCUCCCAGCCCACCUCAGCCAUCCACCACCAGCCUGACACAGACAAGGUUCCUUAUGCAUGAGAAGCUCAACAGAAACCUGGGAGCCUCAGUGGCCCUCGCUAAAAACCUCCGAGGCGUGCCUAGACACAUCUUCCCAGGCAUGGUGGUACACACCCAUUAUUCCAGCACUCAAGAGGCUGAGACGAGAGGAUUGCCAGGAUUUCAAAACUACCCCAAUCUACAUGGUAAAUUCCAAUCCAGGCUAGACCUUAUGGGGGGCAGUGGAGAACCAGGGCCUGACUGUGUCACAGUCCUCCCUAUAAACCUCUUGUGGCUCCCAGCUGCCAAGUCCAAACAGACAAGGACCUUGUUUCUCCUUUCCCUCCCCGCUGGCAUUUGCUG
rnacentral:lncRNA from 1 species